GGGGGACAUACAAGAGCUAGAAUGUCAACCCGAUACAGUCUUCCUACAUUAAGUUUGUCAUUUCCUGCUUGUGGUGCUAACAGAAAGUGCUGCAGGUCUCAAGAGACAAAACAUUUUC
rnacentral:snoRNA from 1 species